rnacentral:rRNA from 1 species
GAUGAACGCUAGCUACAGGCUUAACACAUGCAAGUCGAGGGACCGGCGCGCGAGUGAGUAACACGUAUCCAACCUGCCCUUUACUCGGGGAUAGCCUUUCGAAAGAAAGAUUAAUACUCGAUAUAUGGGAUGGGGAUGCGUUCCAUUAGGUUGUUGUGGAGGUAACGGCCCGCCAAGCCUUCGAUGGAUAGGGGUGCGGAGAGGAACGUCCCCCACAUUGAAACUGAGACACGGUCCAAACGCGUACUGGAAGCAGGGGUUAGGAAUAUUGGUCAAGGAGCGUUAGCCUGAACCAGCCAAGUAGCGUGAAGGGUGAAGGCUUAUGGGUCGUAAACUUCUUUUAUAUAAGAAUAUGUAUUAUAUUAAUAAGGAUCGGCUAACUCCGUGCCAGCAGCCGCGGUAAUAC